UACAGAGGUCUCAAGCGUUGUUCGGAUUCACUGGGCGUAAAGGGUGCGUAGGUGGCCAGGUAAGUUCGGUGUGAAAGCUCGGAGCUUAACUCCGAAAUGUCAUUGAAUACUAUCUGGCUUGAGGGUCGGAGGGGAGACUGGAAUUCUCGGUGUAGCAGUGAAAUGCGUAGAUAUCGAGAGGAACACCAGUGGCGAAGGCGAGUCUCUGGACGACUCCUGACACUGAGGCACGAAAGCUAGGGGAGCAAACAGG
rnacentral:rRNA from 1 species